UUGUUCAUAUCCAGACAUAGAAUACAGCUUGUUAACUGAUAAAUUUCGUGCUCCCUUGUUAAAACUUCAAACCCUAACCCUCAAGAGGCUCUGAUACCACUUGGUGCGGCCCUGGAUAGGCUGUCUAAUCCCUGAAUCACUUGAAGGGGCGUGGGUGAAAGGAUCAAGAGAUUGUAGGUUUCUUGGAUGGCGGAUGGACUUCACCUUCGAGCUAUGGAUUGCUCAGAGG
rnacentral:lncRNA from 1 species